rnacentral:tRNA from 1 species
GGUCAUGGCUCAGUGGUAGAGCAUUCGCCUAGCAGGUGCAAGGCCCUGGGUUCAAUCCUCAGGACCA